rnacentral:rRNA from 1 species
UUCGUUUCCUCGGCGGGUUCGCCCGCCGAUUGGACAAUUUAAACCAUUUGCAGUUGCAAUCAGCGUCUGAAAAAACAUAAUAGUUACAACUUUCAACAACGGAUCUCUUGGUUCUGGCAUCGAUGAAGAACGCAGCGAAAUGCGAUAAGUAGUGUGAAUUGCAGAAUUCAGUGAAUCAUCGAAUCUUUGAACGCACAUUGCGCCCCUUGGUAUUCCAUGGGGCAUGCCUGUUCGAGCGUCAUUUGUACCUUCAAGCUCUGCUUGGUGUUGGGUGUUUGUCUCGCCUCUGCGCGUAGACUCGCCUCAAAACAAUUGGCAGCCGGCGUAUUGAUUUCGGAGCGCAGUACAUCUCGCGCUUUGCAUUCAGAACGACGACAUCCAAAAGUACAUUUUUACACUCUUGACCUCGGAUCAGGUAGGGAUACCCGCUGAACUUAAGCAUAUC